AUUACUUAUACACAGAUUUCUUUGAUGGUUUUUAGUUGUUGCUCAAAUAUAUCAAGGCAUUUAGCACUGCUGGAAAUUAUUACAGGCAUUUUUUGUAACAUUUUCUAACAUCGUACGGACAAAUUAAUAAUUAAUGGAGAAAAUGGUUUUAAAUUACAGAUGCUAUCAACAACAUUUCUUGUUAAUUUUAUUUAGUUGUCGGCCUAGGAUGACGAGGUCCAGUUACCAGGAUCACUACUCUGCAGCUUACUGGUUCCGUCCUGCAGCUCCUUCAUGCUGUCCUCCUCGCUACAGACCAAAUCAAGAUAAAGGAACCAGGAUGCUACUGUGGAUCCUCUGCAGUAUCUGGAGACGUCAGAGGAACGGUUCUUGGAACAGAUCUGAAGACACCGAGACCUGACCACUGCCCUGCUCCAGAACAUCCAGAGGACGGAUGAAAAUUCAAACACCUUGGCUGGACUGAUGGGACGCAUGGUGUCGGUGCUGGAGCGACUGUCACAGAAAUAAACUGCAUUGUCCACUA